UCCGUAGGUGGCAAUCGUUGUCCGGAAUUAUUGGGCGUAAAGCGCGCGCAGGCGGUUAUGUAAGUCUGAUGUUAAAGCCCGGGGCUCAACCUCGGUUCGCAUUGGAAACUGUGUAACUUGAGUGCAGAAGAGGAAAGUGGUAUUCCACGUGUAGCGGUGAAAUGCGUAGAUAUGUGGAGGAACACCAGUGGCGAAGGCGACUUUCUGGUCUGUAACUGACGCUGAGGCGCGAAAGCGUGGGGAGAAAACAGG
rnacentral:rRNA from 1 species